AAAUUGAAGAGUUUGAUCAUGGCUCAGAUUGAACGCUGGCGGCAGGCCUAACACAUGCAAGUCGAACGGUAACAGGAAACAGCUUGCUGUUUCGCUGACGAGUGGCGGACGGGUGAGUAAUGUCUGGGAAACUGCCCGAUGGA
rnacentral:rRNA from 1 species